GCGGAUGUGGCGAAAUUGGCAGACGCGCCAGACUUAGGAUCUGGUUCCCGAGAGGGAGUGCUGGUUCAAGUCCAGUCAUCCGCACCA
rnacentral:tRNA from 1 species